rnacentral:rRNA from 1 species
UACGAAGGGGGCUAGCGUUGUUCGGAAUUACGGGGCGUAAAGCGCGCGCAGGCGGUUUCUCAAGUCAGUGGUGAAAGCCCGGAGCUCAACUCCGGAACUGCCAUUGAAACUGUGAAACUUGAGGACGAGAGAGGUGAGUGGAAUUCCCAGUGUAGAGGUGAAAUUCGUAGAUAUUGGGAAGAACACCGGUGGCGAAGGCGGCUCACUGGCUCGUUUCUGACGCUCAGGCGCGACAGCGUGGGGAUCAAACAGG